UGACAGACAUUGCAUGGCCUUUCCUUCACGAAGUUGAACUUGGGUAGGCCAGCUAUUAGGUCUUUUGAUGCCAGUUUGGACAUGCUUUUGAAGUUUAAGUGAGACAACCGUCUAUGCCAUAACCAGCUCAUUUCUUCAGAUGUUUUUUCCAGAAAACAUAUUGUCUCAUCUGAGCUUAGUUGACCAAGAUCCACUGUGUAGACAUUUCCUUCUCUUGUCCCGGUUAGCUUUACAGCAGAUAUCUUCAAAUCUCUGACUUGACAUUAAUUAUUUAGGAAUGUCACUUGAUGAUCCUUGUCACGGAGUUGGCUGAUACUUAGAAGGUUGUGUUGAAGACCUUCCACAUAGGCUACUUUCCUGAAAGAUACUGCACCAUUGCCAGCAGAGCCAUAUCCUCUUGUCUUGCCCGAGCCAUUAUCUUUAAAGAUGGCUGAGGGACCUUCCUUUUCUAUGUAGUUAGAUAG
rnacentral:lncRNA from 1 species